AGAGCUUGUGCAGGAAAUCCUUGCGCCGGUCCGCGAUGCGGGCCUGAAUACGGGCCACCUUCAACAUGGCCCUGCGGUGAUUGUUGCUCCCUUUCCGUUUGCGCGCCAGAUCGCGUUGCGCUUUCCUCAACCGUUGCGCGUCCCGUUUGCGGAAUCGGGGGUUGGCUGUCUUUUCCCCGUUCGAGGUGAUGGCGAAGUCCGUCAACCCCAUGUCGAUGCCGACCUGCGUACCGGCCUUGGGCAAUGGUUUGACGUGUUCCUCGACGAGGAUGCUCACAUGCCAGCGUCCGGCCGCGUCCAAUAUGACGGUCACACUCGACGGCUUGGCGCUGCGCGGCAGCGUGCGGCUCCACUUGAUAUUCAAGGGUUCGCCCAUCUUGGCGAGCUUGAGGUCGCGGCCGUCCCAUGUGAACGCGGUGCGCAUGAACGACGCGGAACCGCCAUGGGACUUCUUCUUGAAUUCCGGGUAGUCGCCACGCUGGUUGAAGAAGUUGGAGAACGCCGCCUGCAAAUGUCUUACGGACCGUUGCAAUGCAACGGAGGACACGUCGUUGAGGAACGACAGUUCCUCG
rnacentral:antisense_RNA from 1 species